GUUUUUGUUUUUUUGAGACGGAGUUUCACUUUUGUUGCCCAGGCUGGAGUGCAAUGGCGCGUUCUCAGCUCACCGCAACCUCCGCCUCCCUG
rnacentral:lncRNA from 1 species